CCAUUGGAAACGAUGGCUAAUACCGCAUAAUGCCUUCGGGGCCAAAGAGGGGGACCUUCGGGCCUCUCGCGUCAGGAUAUGCCCAGGUGGGAUUAGCUAGUUGGUGAGGUAAGGGCUCACCAAGGCGACGAUCCCUAGCUGGUCUGAGAGGAUGAUCAGCCACACUGGAACUGAGACACGGUCCAGACUCCUACGGGAGGCAGCAGUGGGAAUAUUGCACAAUGGGCGCAAGCCUGAUGCAGCCAUGCCGCGUGUAUGAAGAAGGCCUUCGGGUUGUAAAGUACUUUCAGUCGUGAGGAAGGUAGUGUAGUUAAUAGCUGCAUUGCUUGACGUUAGCGACAGAAGAAGCACCGGCUAACUCCGUG
rnacentral:rRNA from 1 species